rnacentral:tRNA from 1 species
GGGCCGCUAGCUCAGCUGGUAGAGCAGAUCCCUCUUAAGGAUACGGUCCAGGGUUCGACCCCCUGGCGGCCCA